rnacentral:rRNA from 1 species
UACGUAUGGUGCAAGCGUUAUCCGGAUUUACUGGGCGUAAAGGGAGCGCAGGCGGUGCGCCAAGUCUGAUGUGAAACCCCGGGGCUCAACCCCGGGCAUGCAUUGGAAACUGGCGGGCUGGAGUGCCGGAGAGGUAAGCGGAAUUCCUAGUGUAGCGGUGAGAUGCGUAGAUAUUAGGAGGAACACCAGUGGCGAAGGCGGCUUACUGGACGGCAACUGACGCUGAGGCUCGAAAGCGUGGGGAGCAAACAGG